rnacentral:lncRNA from 1 species
CACCACUGGGAGAGUAGGCUCAACAUUCAGUUUUUCCAUAUUUGGCGAGAAGGCAAUACAUUUGCCUACCAUUUAGCUAAUACGGGGAUACAAAUAUAAAAAGUUCAAGCUUUCAAUAACAAGAGUUAACUGCUGAGAUUAAUGGAUUGCUUAGAAUAGAUAAAUGUGGUUUGUCAAGCAUAAGGAUGUAAGUGGCCUUAGUUUCUUGUUCCUUUAUUCUCUUACCUGCAAACAUAACUCAUGUAUAGACUAGGUUUCUUUCCUUAAAUUUUGUUAUAUUUCCAAGAAGGCAAGGUUCAUUGAAGUCCAACUCCUUUGUAAAAUU